UAUAAAUCGAGGAUUGAGACGAGUAGGCAGUGGCGUCUAUUUAGAGAGUCAGCGGGUGGUGGAAGCUGAUUAGAAGCGCUGUGCGAAUGGACUUAUGAGAGCCAGCCGGAAAGCGGAAGCGAGUAUGGCGGACGUAUCCCUGCGUUAAAGGGAAAGGCUUAAGAAGCCUGUUUGAGUGAGUGCAAAAUGCAUUAAUGCGUGGUGGUACCGCGGUUAAAACCGUCCCCGCA
rnacentral:ncRNA from 1 species